UGACAACCCCCCAUCCAGAGGAGAGUGAAAUUGCUCUCUACGAUUUGGACAGGUCAUGAAAAGCUAUCUCUAGAAAUUUUUGAAACCUUAUAUUUCAUUUCAAAAAUGAGUGCGAUUUUGCAUUUCUACCGCAAAAUAUAUCUCAGCCACAUACCGUUGGACCUAAUGUGACCAGCUGGCCCCAGGUGUGUCCAGACACACAACUUUGGACAUAUUAGGAGAAAUGAUCAGACUUCAGAAGGCCAAACCCAGCCCCUCCUGCUCUUGUGGCCGUGUCUCUUCCAGGUUUCUUGCCCUCUGUUUUUCUGGAACCCUGAGGGAUUUUACACAUGUUCCCUAAUGCUCCAUUCUCACAAGCCCGGGGUCCUCUCACCCCCUCUCACCCCUAAGUUUGUCCCUAAGUUCACUGAGUCAACAGCCUCGCAUGGGGGCAGGGUCCAGACAGCACCUCUUUCUCUUCCUGCAUUUCUUCAGGAGCCAGAAAGGGAUGGGGGUGUCUCUCCUAAAUUGUAUCAAUGUCUGGCAGCUCCGUAAGCCCUGUGUUCUGUCAUCUCAGGUCACUCUGCUGGCCUUGGGCCCCUCUCUGUCCUGCUGACCAUUCUGGUCUGGGCCCUGGGGAAAGGGCUUUCCUUUGUUGUGUCACAGAAGAGCUCCCAGCAGAGCGCAGCUUUCGCGUCUCUCCUGCAUAUCUCGGCCCUCUGCUUCCAGCAGGCAGGCUCUCCCGGACUCAGGGACUCCAUGGUCCUCCACAGCCUGGCUGUCGUCAGGGUCUCCGCUCUUUAGAGUCAAGAGCAUUGCUGGCUGGAGACAAGAGAUGGCGCUGUGAGCCCAACGGAAAGAGAAGGCGUGAUUAUUAUAUGUCAGCUAGGUUAGCCCGAUUUAUCUGCAGGAGAGGUUUCACGACCAGCAGCUACAACCAUGGUGACCACUGAAACACACUGUUACAUUCUCUUGGGCUUGGACUAUUUGGAGAACCAACGAUUAUUUUAGCAAGGGAAAAUGGAGCACCAUCUUCCUUCUGGAGAAUCUUUGAUGGGUGGGACACCUGCUGUACAGCCAACAAAUCCAAAAGUCUCUCCGUGAACAAGGGAAAUUAACAACAACGUCUGCCACCGCAUUGGCUGUGAGCACUUGAAAUCUUGGCUGGUGAUUUGCUGCAAUAAGUGCAGGCCUGGGAAAAGGCUGGCACUACCAGCUAGCUUUGACAACCUGCCAGCAGCCUCCCUGCUUUGGAAAUUGUAUGACUCUGUGAAUGCUGUCUAACCGUCUGAGCCAUGAAUUCUUGAAGACAGAACAAGCCAAGAAGAAAGGACCAAUUUCAGAAGAAGUGUGAUAGAGUCAAGGUUUUUAGAAACCAAAAGCUUAGUUAUAAAGGAACUGGGGCUCGUCUAGAUAUGAAACAGCAUUCCCAGGGCUUUUUCUAAAACUUCUACUUGUUUUUCUUUAACCAUUAAAAAAAAAGUAAAUAUUGAUAUCUGUCUUGUACCACACGCCUUAUACUAAAAUAAAUCCCAGAAUGAUUUGAGAUUCUAAUGUAAAAAUUAAACCACAUAAGAACCAAAGGAAAAUACAGGAAAAUAAAAAUUAAAGAAAGAAAAACAAAACAAAAAAAUAAAAUGACAAAAAAUACAGUUGACAUAUAAUCUUGAGGCACAAAUGGCUAUUUGAAGACUAAAAGCAAAAAUCAC
ensembl:lncRNA